CAGCCAUGUUUCCUUCUUUUCCUAUUCAUUUGAUUGAUUAUUAUAAUCAGCAACUUUCCUUACCUUUCUAAAUCAUGAACUUGGUCGUUUUCCUUAAUCCGAACCGUGUACCCGAGAUUUAUGUUGAUUGAAGGAUUCCAAAAUUACGGCAAACAGAAAGGUUAUAAGUAAACCUUUACUUCAAACGUAAACCUCACUUUUCACACCUCCAUCAUCUCGACACCCUCACUACACCACCACACUAGCUUUUCGGUUGUCGUUACGCUACGCCAGAGUUAACAAGAUCCACCGGAGACGCUCGGACAUCACCCGAAGAUUCUCUCGCUUUGAAGACGAUACUGGAAGCUACCGGAGCCGUUCGAAGCCGUUGCCGAAUCUGCGAGAUGCCGGAGACGACCAAAGCCACGACGAGGAACCACCUUUGCUUCGGUUAACCGCUUCCGUCCAUUUGGAAACCUUUUCUCAAUCUAUACCCGUGCGUUAUUUUACAAGAAAUCGCAACCCAACCACUGUACACAUGGUUGAUAGCUACUUGAGGAGACACAUAGGAUUGUGCCUUAGAAUAAUUAAAUCAAGACCUACGUUAUUUUCCUUUUGUAUUUUGAAUAUUAUGUGGUUGUAUUUGGAACUAUUAUUUGGUUAU